AUUGAACGCUAGCGGGAUGCUUUACACAUGCACGUCGAACGAGUGGCGGACGGGUGAGUAAUAUAACGGAACGUGCCCAGUAGCGGGGGAUAACUACUCGAAAGAGUGGCUAAUACCGCAUACUAUUGGAGAGGCCGAUCGCGGAUUAGGUAGUUGGUGGGGUAAAGGCUUAACAAGUCAACGAUCCGUAGCUGGUUUGAGAGGUCGACCAGCGACACUUGGACUGAGACACGGCCCAGACUCCUACGGGAGGCAGCAGUGGGGAAUUUGGGACAAUUGGGGAAACUCUGAUCCAGCCAUCCCGCGUGUAUGAGAAGGCCUUCGUGUUGUAAAGUACUUUUGGCAGAGAAGCGGUAUCUGCAGAAUAAGCACCGGCGAACUACGUGCCAGCAGCCGCGGUAAUAC
rnacentral:rRNA from 1 species